CCUACGGGGUAGCUGCAGUGGGGAAUAUUGGACAAUGGGCGAAAGCCUGAUCCAGCCAUGCCGCGUGUGUGAAGAAGGCCUUCGGGUUGUAAAGCACUUUCAGUGGGGAAGAAAGCCUUGGGGCUAAUACCCUCGAGGAAGGACAUCACCCACAGAAGAAGCACCGGCUAACUCCGUGCCAGCAGCCGCGGUAAUACGGAGGGUGCGAGCGUUAAUCGGAAUUACUGGGCGUAAAGCGCGCGUAGGCGGUCUGAUAAGCCGGUUGUGAAAGCCCCGGGCUCAACCUGGGAACGGCAUCCGGAACUGUCAGGCUAGAGUGCAGGAGAGGAAGGUAGAAUUCCCGGUGUAGCGGUGAAAUGCGUAGAGAUCGGGAGGAAUACCAGUGGCGAAGGCGGCCUUCUGGACUGACACUGACGCUGAGGUGCGAAAGCGUGGGUAGCAAACAGGAUUAGAUACCCGAGUAGUC
rnacentral:rRNA from 1 species